rnacentral:rRNA from 1 species
AGUUUGAUCCUGGCUCAGGAUGAACGCUGGCGGCGUGCCUAACACAUGCAAGUCGAACGGACCCUUCGGGGUUAGUGGCGCACGGGUGAGGAACACGUAGCUUACCUGCCCUUUACACUGAGAUAACUCUGCGAAAGCAGAGCUAAUAUCGGAUAAGCUCACGAGGAACAGUAUCCUAAGUGAGAAAAGCUCCGGCGGUAAAGGAGGGGGCUGCGGCCCAUCAGCUAGUUGGUGAGGUAACGGCUCACCAAGGCGACGACGGGUAGGGGACCUGAGAGGGUGACCCCCCACACUGGGACUGAGACACGGCCCAGACUCCUACGGGAGGCAGCAGUGAGGAAUAUUGCUCAAUGGGCGCAAGCCUGAAGCAGCGACGCCGCGUGGACGAUGAAGGUCUUCGGAUCGUAAAGUCCUUUUCUGUGUGACGAGAACGGACGGUAGCACAGGAAUAAGUGUCGGCUAACUACGUGCCAGCAGCCGCGGUAACACGUAGGACGCAAGCGUUAUCCGGAAUUACUGGGCGUAAAGAGCGUGUAGGCGGUGCUGUAAGUCAACCGUGAAAGCUCCCGGCUAAACUGGGAGAGGUCGGAUGAGACUGCAGCGCUAGUGGGUCGUAGAGGAGUGUGGAAUUCCGGGUGUAGUGGUGAAAUGCGUAGAGAUCCGGAGGAACACCAGAGGCGAAGGCGGCACUCUGGACGACAUCAGACGCUGAGACGCGACAGCACGGGGAGCGAACGGGAUUAGAAACCCCGGUAGUCCGUGCCGUAAACGA